CAGGAAAUUACAGCUGGAACAGACACAUCAGACAGUGUAUGUGCAACAAGAAAUGAUCCUCGUUCCAGAGUUGCUGCGCUUGUGCCUGUGGUGCUUGUAGUAGUGCUGUCACCUGUCAUAGGAAUUUUCAUUUGAAGAGAGAGAAUGUAAUCGAUGGAUAGAACAGCCGCAGGAUGAAGAGAGGAAUAACCCCAUUGCGCCUCUGUGCCCCACAUGCACGCCUCCCAUACAAGAAACCCAGGGAACAGAUGGACCAUAACCGAUCUGCCUGAGGGUCCCAUUGCAGUGGGUCACAGAUUUCUGCUCACCGCCCUGCGUCCUCUCCCCGUGGUGGCUGAGACAUUCAGCGCUGGAUAUCAGGAACGUGUCUCCCCAGUCCUUCUCAUCUGCUUCCAGAACUGACCGUCAGCAACAGGCUUCCACCACUCAGCCCCCUGCACAGCCAGAUUCAGCAGCCAGCGAUGGGCCCGGUCCGUUAGGUUCUCAUGGUCAACAGGUUUACAGUCACUGAGCACUUUAUUAGGAACACCUACUUAUCCAUGCGAUUACCUCAUCAGCCAAUCUGGAGGCAGCAGUCCAAUGCAUACAAUUGUGCAGAUACAGGUCAGGAUCUUCAGUUAAUGUUCAUGUCAACCAUCAGAAUGGGGCUAGAAUUGUGAUCUCCGUGAUUGCAGCCGUCAUUGACGACGUCGUCGACUAAUCGUUGCAGCUCUAGUAAUCAGUCUCAUAAGAUUUAUGUUGUCUGAAAUAUCUAACCAUAAAUUUUGGUUCUCAUGUCUAUGUGACACCGAAACACACACCAGACUUUUAAUUUUACAGUACAAACACAGAACAUAAAUGUGGGUAAAUGUGA